CCUACGGGUGGCUGCAGUGGGGAAUAUUGCACAAUGGGCGCAAGCCUGAUGCAGCCAUGCCGCGUGUGUGAAGAAGGCCUUCGGGUUGUAAAGCACUUUCAGCGGGGAGGAAGGCGUUAAGGUUAAUAACCUUGUCGAUUGACGUUACCCGCAGAAGAAGCACCGGCUAACUCCGUGCCAGCAGCCGCGGUAAUACGGAGGGUGCAAGCGUUAAUCGGAAUUACUGGGCGUAAAGCGCACGCAGGCGGUCUGUCAAGUCGGAUGUGAAAUCCCCGGGCUCAACCUAGGAACUGCAUUCGAAACUGGCAGGCUAGAGUCUUGUAGAGGGGGGUAGAAUUCCAGGUGUAGCGGUGAAAUGCGUAGAGAUCUGGAGGAAUACCGGUGGCGAAGGCGGCCCCCUGGACAAAGACUGACGCUCAGGUGCGAAAGCGUGGGGAGCAAACAGGAUUAGAUACCCCGGUAGUC
rnacentral:rRNA from 1 species